GAUAAACGCUGGCGGCGUGCCUAAUACAUGCAAGUCGAACGCUUAAUAUCCAGCUUGCUGGAUAGAGAGAGUGGCGAACGGGUGAGUAAUACAUAAGCAACCUGCCUACAAGGACUGGGAUAACUUCUGGAAACGGAUGCUAAUACCGGAUAGGUAAUAGGAAGACAUCUUCUUAUUAUUAAAGGUUAAAAACACAAGUAGAUGGGCUUAUGGCGCAUUAGUUAGUUGGUGAGGUAACGGCCACCAAGACGAUGAUGCGUAGCCGGCCUGAGAGGGUGAACGGCCACACUGGGACUGAGACACGGCCCAGACUCCUACGGGAGGCAGCAGUUGGGAAUCUUCGGCAAUGGGCGCAAGCCUGACCGAGCAACGCCGCGUGAGUGAUGAAGGUUUUCGGAUUGUAAAGCUCUGUCUUCCGGGACGAUAAUGACGGUACCGGAGGAGGAAGCCACGGCUAACUACGUGCCAGCAGCCGCGGUAAGCACGAGAGUA
rnacentral:rRNA from 1 species